rnacentral:rRNA from 1 species
UACGUAGGUGGCAAGCGUUGUCCGGAAUUAUUGGGCGUAAAGAGCUCGUAGGCGGUUCGGCAAGUCGGAUGUGAAAUCUCCACGCUCAACGUGGAGGGGCCAUUCGAAACUGCCGUGACUAGAGUCCGGUAGGGGAGUGCGGAAUUCCCGGUGUAGCGGUGAAAUGCGCAGAUAUCGGGAGGAACACCAGUGGCGAAGGCGGCACUCUGGGCCGGAACUGACGCUGAGGAGCGAAAGCGUGGGGAGCGAACAGG